CUACGAGUCCAUGCCCUACAUCCGCAUCUACAAGAACCGCGUGGAGCGCUACUCCGGCUCCGAGUUCGUCGCCGCCUCUACCGACGCCGCCACCGGCGUCGCCUCCCGGGACGUCGUCAUCUCCCCCAACGUCUCCGCGCGCCUCUACCUCCCGCGCCUCGCGGACGGGGAACCCGCGACCAAGCUCCCCGUCCUCGUCUACUACCACGGCGGCGGCUUCUGCCGCGGCUCCGCUUUCGACCCCACCUUCCACGCCUACUUCAACAGCUUCGCGGCGCUCGCCAACGUCCUCGUCGUCUCCGUCGAGUACCGCCUCGCCCCCGAGCACCCCGUCCCCGCCGCCUACGCCGACUCCUGGGAGGCCCUCGCCUGGGUCGUCUCCCACCUCGCCGAUUCCCCCAACGACGGCGGCAACAGGGACCCGUGGGUCGCGGGCCACGCCGACUUCGCCCGCCUCUACCUCGGCGGCGAGAGCGCGGGCUCCAACAUCGCGCACCACAUGGCGAUGCGCGUCGCGGCGGAGGGGCUGCCCCACGGCGCCCAGAUCCGGGGCCUCGUCAUGAUCCACCCCUACUUCCUGGGCACUGACAAGGUGCCCUCCGACGACCUGAGCCCGGAGAUGCGUGAGCGCCUGGGUACCCUGUGGCGCGUCAUGUGCCCAACCACCACCGGCGAGGACGACCCGCUCAUCAACCCCUUAGUGGACGGCGCCCCCGCGCUGGCGACCCUGGCGUGCGGCCGCGUGCUCGUCUGCGUCGGCGAGGGCGACGUGCUCCGCGACCGCGGCCGCGCCUACCACGACCGCCUCAAGGCCAGCGGCUGGCAAGGGGAGGCCGCGAUCUGGCAGGCGCCCGGCAAGGACCACAGGUUCCACCUCCUGGAGCCGUGCUGCGACGAGGCCGUCGAGCAGGGCAAGGUCAUCAGCGACUUCCUCAACCGCUGACCCGCCUCGUCCCACCGCCGGCGGUGGCGUGUACUCGGCCACCGGAUUGAAUAACCGCAGCUUCAUCGACGAUGAAUGCUGCCGCGCUACACUGCUUACUAGUCUACUGUUUCAGAUUCAGAAUUGUGUCUCUGUCCUUUGCCAUUGUUAGGAGGCAUUGGUGUUGUAUUGCAUUGGGAAUUUGGGGGAUGAUGAUGAUACAGUCAUAGUGUCAUACAGAUGAAUUAUACUUGUUGGACAGACAUAAAUUGUUGAAACAUCCAUUCGAUCUUCGAUCAUUAUACAAAACUAAUUGCUAAAUAGGAGGACUAAACAUGAGCUAAUUACAAAACCAAUUGCACAACCCCUAGGCUAAAUCGCGAGACAAAUCCAUUAAGCCUAAUUAAUCCAUCACGAAUGUUUACUGUAGCACCAUAUUGUCAAAUCAUGGACUAAUUAGGCUUAAUGAAUUCGUCUCGCGAUUUAGCCUAGGGGUUGUGAAAUUGGUUUUGUAAUUAGCCUAUGUUUAAUACUCCUAAUUAGUGUCAAACAUUCGAUGUGAUAGGGGCUAAAGUUCAGCUCGGGGAUCCAAACACCCCCCUCACGUCUUUCUUGAUUCUAGCAGCUGCAAUUGCUUAUGGAAUGGCUUGUCAGUUUUGGUAGAAACACCGGGUUGGGUUUGGAUUGCUGAGGGGUUGUUUGAUGCGAGGUAUUAAACUUUAGGAGGGUCACAUUGGAUGUUCAGACGCUAAUUAGGAGGACUAAACAUGAGCUAAUUAUAAAACUAACUGCAGAAGCUCUAUACUAAUUCGCGAGACGAAUCUAUUAAGCCUAAUUAAUCCAUCAUUAGCAAAUAGUUACUGUAACACCAUAUUGUCAAAUCAUGGACUAAUUAGGCUUAAUAGAUUCGUCUCGCGAAUUAGACUCCAUCUGUGCAAUUAGUUUUGUAAUUAGACUAUAUUUAAUACUCCUAAUUAGUAUCAAACAUCCGAUGUGAUAGGUAUAGGGGUGUAUCAAAAACCCUAAGAUACUCUUACAAUACAAAUAAUGAAACAAAUAAUAGAAAGAACAAAAGAAUUGUCAAGUUCACCUGUUCAUACAUCUGUCAACUAGGCCGGUUCGCAUGGAAAGAUGCCUUUGCAUUAAAUUUGAUGCCCUUUGCUAGCCUCUACUGCCUUCUGCUUGCCAUGUUAGCCUAUGUUGUGUCCUAUGAAGGCUGAAAGUCAAUGGCUUUGCAUACUGUUUUAUAUUUUUAUGUCUACUUUUCAGUUUCAGAGAUGCCAGGGAAGCUUCGUCGAGAUAAUAAAAAAGGAAUUAUGCUUAACUAUAGCAUCUCUUUUUAUCCCUAUUUUUGUUUUUUAAUGGCUUUCUCAUUCUUUUUUUCUGAGGCUUUUUGUGGGAGCCUUUUCAUUUUCUUGUUGGGCUCCAAUUUUAUCAGGAAAGCCAUCUCGAAUUCGGCCCAGCCGCCCACUACCUUCAUCAUCAAUCGGACUCUGACUAGCAUAACUCUUGUGUUGGAGCAACUCUCCAACAGCUGCUCAGGCAAGGCCUUUUUCAACGAAUAUUCCCACAAAUACGCUGUUGUUUCCUACUGCGUGCAGACCUUGAUCAGCUGUUUUUCUGGUUCAAAGGGCAUCUAUUACAGGAUUUCUGAAACUGGUUUUUACGGGUCUUCAGAGCAACUCCAAAAGUUUUCUAAUUUUUUUCCCCAAAAGAAGCUCUACUAAUUUUUUUUACCAAAAUCAUGACACACCACAGCAGAUUCCUGAUAAUAAACUCUCCAAUACUUCAAAACUGGCAACGUCAGCACGUGUGAGCCUAUCUAUUGGGCCGUGAAAGCAAUAGGGAUUGCGCGAAAUAAUAGAUUGAUUAGGGUAUACAACAUGUACAAAUAUAUAGGCAGCCCUUGGUGAGGUUUAUAGAAACACAACCGACUGAGGGAUAAUACUACCCAUCCUAAUCCAUCUAAGGCACGACAGGGAGCUGGCCUGGGCCUGGCGCACAGCCAGGGCCCAUAUACACGUAUGGCACAUACAGCGCAUACACAUCUUCUAACACGCGACGUUCAGACUGGACCUGAACUCUGUGAACACUAAAGAAGGCAGGCCUUUGAUGAAAAUGUCGGCGUACCGAGAGCUCAUCGGAACAUGAAGAACGCGGACAUCACCAGUAGCAACGCGCUCGCGAACAAAGUGGAGAUCAAUCUCCACGUGUUUUGUGCGCUGAUGCUGAACGGGGUUCGAAGAUAUGUAGACAGUGCUGAUGUUAUCGUAAUAAACCAAGACGGUGUGAUGCAGAGGAACAUGCAGCUCAACUAGAAGUUGGCGCAACCAUGAGACCUCGGCAACAACAUUGGCAACCACCUGAUACUCAGCCUCGACACUCGAGCGAGAGACUACAGUCUGUCGCUUUGAAGACCAGGAGACCAAGUUGUCACCCAAAAAAAUUGCAUACCCGGAAGUAGACUUCCGGGUGUCUGGGCAACUAGCCCAAUCAGUGUCAGAGUAAACCUGCAAAUCCAACUGAGUGGAGGGCUGAAGAUGCAAACCCAAGUGAAGAGUGCCAUGAAUAUACCGCAGAAUGCGCUUCAAGGCGGUAAGAUGUGGCUCACGAGGAUCAUGCAUGUGUAGGCAGACCUGCUGAACCGCAUAAGAAAUGUCGAGACGAGUGAAGGUGAAAUAUUGUAGAGCACUAGCGAGGCUCCGAAAAUCAGUCCCAUUGACAAGCGGGGCAUUGUUAGUAGCAGACAGCUUCGAAUUUGUAUCAACUGGUGUAGAACAAGACUUGCAAUCAAUCAUACCAGCAUGCUCCAGAAUCUCCAACAUAAACUGGUGCUGAGACAGAAGAAGGCCAUCACCAGACCGCUGAACAUGCGUACCCAGAAAAUGAUGAAGUUCACCAAGAUCCUUCAUCGAAAACUCCCACCGUAAGCCAUCAAUAGUGCGAUGAAGAAGAGGUGUCGAAGACGCCGUGAGGACUAUAUCAUUCACAUAAAGGAGAAGAUAGACCAUGUCGUCGCCGCGGUGGUACACAAAUAGGGAAGUGUUGGUCUUGGCUUCCACAAAGCCGAGCUGCAGUAGGUGAGAGGCAAAGCGACUGUACCAAGAACGAGGAGCCUGCUUAAGUCCAUACAGAGAGUGAUUCAGACAACAAACAUGAUUAGGACGGGCGGUAUCCUCAAAGCCAGCAGGCUGAGCAUAGUGGACUGUCUCUGAAAGCGUCUCGUGAAGAAAAGCAUUCUUCACAUCCAACUGAUGAAUCGGCCAAUGAUGAGAGAGAGCUAGGGACAACACUGUACGAAUGGUGGCUGGUUUGAUGACAGGACUGAAAGUCUCAGAGAAAUCAAUCCUAGGUCACUGAGUGAACCCGCGAAGCACCCACCGUGCUUUGUAGCGCUCCAGUGAACCGUCAGCAUGUAACUUGUGCUUGAAGACCCACUUGCCAGUAAGAACAUUGGCCCGAGUAGGACGUGGUACAAGAUCCCACAUGUGAUUGGCCAGUAGUGCGUUGAACUCCUCCUGCAUGGCCCGACGCCAAUUGGGAUCAGCGAGAGCGCCCCGGUAAGUGCGAGGCACUGGUGACACCUGGGAGGAAUGAAAAAGUUUUGGCAGAUGGAAUCCCAGCUUCCCGCGUGUUGUCAUGGGGUGCUGAUUGGCGACAGGACACACGGGAACCGUACCGCAAGGAAGAACGGCCCGACCGAUCGGAGUGCACGCCCGACCGAUCGGAGAGCUCGCGGGUGCAGUCGGGGCGCUCGUCCAACCGAUCGGAGAGCUCACUGGUGCGGUCGGGGCGCUUGCCCGACCGAGCGGAGCGGACGCCGGUGCCGGUGGGGCGCUAAGCCAACCGAUCGGAGAGCUCGCCGGUGCGAUCGGGAUGGUCGCCCGACAGAGCGGGGCGCUCGCCGGUGCAGCCGGGGCGCUCGCCCGACCGAUCGAGGAGGGUGCCUGUGCGGUUGGGGUAUUCGCCCGACCGAUGUGAGCGCACGCCGGUGCGGUCGGGGCAGUCGCCCGUACCGAUUGGAGCGCACGCCGGUGUGGACGGGGCGUUCACCCGACUGAGCGGGGCGGUUGCCGAUGCGGUCGGGCACGCUGGUGCAGUCGGGGUGCUCAACCGACCGAUCGGAGCUUGCCGGUGUGGUCAAGGCGCAUGCCCGACCGAUCGGGGAGGUCGGGACGCUUGCCCGACCGAGCGGAGCGCACGCCGGUGCGGUCGGGGCAGUCGCCGGUACGGUCGGGACGCUUGCUCGACCAAUCGGGGAGGUUGAAGGUGCGCCGGGUGAGUGUCCUGUAGGCAACAGAGAUGGUGCCGAGCCAAUAGGGGGCGGCACCACAUUUGAAGGUUCCAACAAAAAAUUAAAGUCCUUGUUAGCUGGGGGUGGUUGCUGCUGAGAAAAGGGAAAGGUAGUCUCGUCAAACACGACAUGGUGAGAGAUGAUGACCCGGUUAGAUGAGAGAUCAAGGCAGCGGUAUCCCUUGUGAUGAGCAGAAUAGCUAAGAAAAAUGCACAGGGUGGAGUGAGGAGCGAGUUUGUGUGGUGCAGUAGCGGAAAGAUUCGAAUAGCAAGUGCAACCGAAAACCCGAAGAUGGUCAUAAGACGGCAUGAUGCAAAACAAACCCAUGUGCGGCGUGGAGGAGCUAAGGGUUUUUGUGGGUAGAAUGUUCAGUAAAUGUGUAGCAGUGUGCAGAGACUCAACCCAAUAGAAGGAAGGCAUACUAGCCUGAAAGAGAAGGGAGCGGACAACAUUAUUGACGCUCCGAAUCAUGCGCUCGGCCCGGCCGUUCUGGGGCGAUGUAUAGGGGCAGGACAUGCGAAGCGAACCCCGUGCGUGUGGAAGAAGGUGCGUGUACUGGAGUUAUUGAACUCACAGCCGUUGUCGCACUAAACGGCCUUCAUAGUGGUGCCAAACUGAGUACGGACAGAGAAGAAGUUAGCCAGAGUCGCAAAGGUGUCAGAUUUGAGAUGUAAAGGGAACGUCCACAAAUAAUGAGAACAAUCAUCAAGAAUGAGCAAAUAAUAUUUAUAGCCAGACACAUUACGAAUAGGAGACGUCCACAAAUUGCAGUGAAUAAGAUCGAAAUUACUAGAUGCUCUAGAAGCAGAUGACUGAAAAGGGAGGCAAGUGUGCCGCCCUAGUUAAAACGCAUGAUAGAUGAUAUGAAUGUCCUUAUUACAAAAAGGAAUGAUCGAAGCGACUUUGGACAAAACUUCAUGGCCGGGAUGUUCGAGACGGCGAUGCCACACAGAGGAAGUGGAGGCAGCAGCGAGAGCAUGGGUAGCAGGAAACCACAGGGGAUAGAGUGGCCCGAAGCUAUUGCACCGGACGAUCAGCCUCCGAGACGCCAGAUCCUUCAUAGAGCAGCCAACGGGAUCAAAUUCAAUAGAACAUUUGUUAUCAUAAGUAAACUGGCAAACAGAAAUAAGGUUCUUAAUAAGUUUAGGUGAAACUAGAACAUUGUUAAGGGAUAGGGAACUCGGAAAGUGAGCUGCGCCAGUAGCCGUGUCAGGAAGCAAGGAACCGUCACCGACAACAAUUGAUGAAGGAAAGAGAUACCACAAAUGAGGAAAAUAUGAAAGAGUACCAGCGUCUGAAGUCAUGUGUGAGGUGGCACGUGAAUCAAGAUACCAGUCGAUCGACUGCAGCUGGUUGAGGGUCAUGGUGCUGAACGUCGAGGUGAGGGACUGCUGAUCCUAGGAGGGGGGCAGGCCCGUCAUGGGAUUGUAGAACCCCGGGGGGACCUGUGGUGCCUGCUGCCCUAGAUAGGGUGCCUGCUGCCCCAUAAGGGGGGGCCUGAAGGCUCUGAAGCUGCGCCUACUGCUGUUGAGCGUACAACGCCUGCUGCUGAAACACCGGUGUGGGCGCGGCUGGACGGGGAGGAAUGACGGCCUGCUAUCGAGGGCCCGAGUACAUGUAAAUUGUACCGGACCAGGGGUUCCAGAAGGAGGGCCAAGGGCCGCUGGACUCCUGGGUGGUGCCGGGAGUAGGGGCCUGGGUGCCGGCGGCAGGGACCUUGCUGCCGUUGCUGGCCGCCACGCCAGCCCCUGUCCCGCUUUUGCUUGGAGUAGGGCCUCCCCUUGCUGCCCCCUAGAGUUGGAACGCUCGGCAGAGUGGUGGGGAGGCACAGAGGGAUGAGAGGAGGAGCCAAUGUUGAUGCCGGUGAGCAGCGCCAUGGACAGAGUCAAGGAAGGAGGCACCAUUGUGAGCUCCUCAAGAACUAGAUCAUCGCGAGCCUCCAGGAAGGAGCGAAGAGGACAAGAACGCCAGAUGUCGCGGCCGACGGCGGCGAACUUCUCGUUGAGCCCGCGGAUGAUGUUGAGGACAAGGGUGCGGUCGGAGACUUGCUCGCCGAGAUUACCAAGGGCAUCUGCCAUGCUCUUGAUGUGGUGGCAGUAGUCCGUAAUGGACAAGUCGCCCUGGACGAAGGUCCGGAACUUGUCAUCGAGGUAGAGGGCCCGCUUCUCCCGAUUGCUGAGAAACUGCGACUCAAUGGCGAGCCAGGUGGCGCGGAUGGUGGUGCCGCGCUUGCCAUGAUCCAUGACGACAUCGACGAGGUCGGUGGCAAUGGUGCCGUAGAGCUAGGACUGAACAACGCAGUCCAUCUGGCCCCAAUCAGGAGAGGCCAAGGUGGGAGCGUCACAGAGAACGUGAUCCUGCAGCGAAUACUUGCCGACGGUGAGGAGAAACUGUUCACACCACCGUGAGUAGUUAUCAGCGGUGGUGUCAAGGACGACGGGGAUGAGGCUCUGAAUGUUCUGCACGGCGAUGGCCUAGGCGUGCAGGUUGAGGACGGCGGCAGCCUCGUGGAGCAUCAUGGUCUGGUGAGCGUCGGACGCCUGGUCGGAGAGGUCAGCGCUAGCAUCAUCCUCGUCGGAUGCGGGGCGCCCUUGCGCUCCUGGGCGGUGCGCGCCAGAGCUUUGCGAAGGCGGGCGUCGGCGGCGUCGCGCUACUGCGCGGCAGCGGCGGCCUCAGCCUCAGCCGUGACGGCACAGGCAUCCUUGCGGGCGGUACGGCGUUGAGCAGCGGCGGCACUAGCAUCAGCCACGUGCGUGGCAGCCUCGGCAGUGGAGGCGUCAGCCGUGGUGGUGGAGGACUCCGGCGGUAGGGUGUCGGCCAUGGAGGGCAGCGGCGGUGGAGAGCCGGUGCAGGAGCAGCGCCGCGGUCGGGCGCGCUGAGGGCAGUGCUGGUAGCACGCUAGGAUGCGGAAGGUAAGAAAUCGGGAAUAACCCGGACUCGUGAUACCACGAAAGUAAUAGGGAUUGCGUGGAAUAAUAGAUUGAUUAGGGUAUACAACAUGUAGGUAGACCUUGGUGAAGGAUAAGACUGACCAUCCUAAUCCAUUUAGGGCACGACAGGGAACCGGCCUGAGCCUAGCGCGCAGCCAGAGUCCAUGUACACGCACAGCAGCUCGAGUUUGACUUUUAUUCUUGUGCAGCUCGGUGAGCAGAAUUGCAGAAGCAGAAGUGUUGGUUGCCUGUUUCUUUUGGUAUUCCAUAAGUCAAGUGCAGCAGCAGGUUUGUUAGCUCUCGAUUCUCGAUUCUGGACGGCCGCCGCCCGCCGCCGGUAGCCGCGGUGCUACCUCCUUGACUACGUCUGCCACAAGCCCUGCGACACCCGCAAGAUUUCCACGGAGGCGGCCGGCGACGUGAUCCAGCGCAACAAGCGGCUGGGCCUCCCCGACUACCGCUUCCUCCUCCGCGUCAUCGUCCGCUCCGACAUCAUACGCCCUGUGCAGCAUCCUCGAGGGCCGUGAGGACUCGCCCACCCUGCAGGAUCGACGAGAUGGAUGCCUUUCUCGACGAUGCCGUCGGCGAGCUCUUCGCCUGGGCCGACGUCACGUCCCACAACGUCGACGUUCUCGUCUUCAACGUUUCCAUGCUCUCCCCAGCACCAUCGCCGCUGCCGCCGCCACCCACGAACUGGUGCGCGCGAGCGAAGAAAAAUCACGCGAAGGACUAGUGAGGGGGGCGAUUGGGGAGGAGAGGCCGUGCGAAAAUAUGCCGUGCGAAAAUAUGCGGGGCGCCAGCGCGUCGGAUGGUAUCGCCGUAUUUUUUCUGAGCGUUUGAGCUUUUUUUCCUAUUUCCCUAAUUAAGGUUUUAGGGGUAAUUAAAGUAAGCUCUUGUAGUUGCUCUCAUCCGUGGUAAUUUUUCAGGCAGUCCAGUCUGGCAAGAGCGUAUCAAAAAAUACGAGAAGACACAACGACUGGUGCUCGUUGUUUUGGUUAUCUGGAAUCUCAUAAAUAAAAGGAUGGAUACUCCUCCAGUUUCAACUAAAAGUCUGAGUCCUUUCGGACUCCGUAAGCAAUGAAGCACUUCUUUUCUGCUACUAUAUUCAGGGGAGCAGCAGUAAAGGAGUUCAAUUUAAAAUUUACAUACGCUGCAGUUUCUCUACUGGCCUCUCAUAUGUUCAUCUAUCCCUUUUCGAAGAUUCUAAACUAAAUUGAAUUUCACAAUGCUCCCAGUUUUGACAUCAUCAUUUUUUGAGAGGGCCAAUUUAGAGAGACUAAAGUUUAUUCCAAUGCUACAUAUAUUCAGGGGAUCUGUAUGAUAAAGUCUCAUUUUAGGAGUUUACAUAUACUAGAGCUCUAUCAGCCUCCCAUUAAUUAAUCAACAGUUGAUUUCAAACUAAGUUGAAUUUCUUAAGACUAUACAAAAAAAGACUGUCCCUGUUUCGACAAACAGUAGUUGACCCCAACACUAUGUUUUAGAAGAAAAAAAGUUCCAAAAUGCUAUGUAUGACAUUGUUUAGUGAAGCAAACCAUGAACAUAGAUGCCUUUCUUCGACGAGAAAGGACAUCUAUCAGCAAACAAGUUUGCAGAAAAUGAAAACACUAAAUACUUUGAAGCAGAUGAAAACUCUGAACCUGUCCUCGCUGGAGAUAGUAGGUGUACUUGUUCUAAAAAUACAAGUGUGCUUUCCAUAAACAUGUACUUAGCAAAUGAAAAACUGAAAAAAUUGCAGCGAUGCCCUCUCCCAUUUCUACAGAUAGUAAACGUACUUGUUGAUUUUGGAAAAAUUAUAGGUAAUUCGAAUUCUGUACAUAUUCAGGGGAUCUGUCUGAUUGAGGCCCAUUUUAGAAGUUUACAUAUACCACAUAUAUACCACAUUUGCUCCGGUCUUCCAUUAACUAUUCUGUAUUUAAUUUGUUUCCGAUGGAAUAUUUCAAUGUGAACCUGAAUUUGUCAGCUGGUUGGUGUCGUGCAAGUAGUCAGUUGUGGUCUCCAGUUCGACGGGACAAGGUGUUGACUGUUGACUGCCUCUCGUUUGCCUUAGCUUGAUUGCUUGCUGAAUCAUUCUAGUCCCAUUUGAUGCUUUGGCUCGAAGAACAGGUUGAAAAAAUAAGAAAAAAAACACUAAUAGACAAGAUAAAUUGGCAUGUGAGUUGUGAGGUCCAUAGCAACUUGUGAGAUUUUUACUACUGCCCUCUCCUCUGCAAUUACAAUCACCAACUACAAAUCUCUUGAUCCCGGCCUGUAGAGAAGAAGAUGGGAAAACACCACACACCCUAAUAAGGGGUGACCUCUAUAUAUAUAGCCAAUAUGGCUUGGAGUAAAAAAAUACAUUAAGUGUACAAGAAAAGAAUAAAUACAUCCUAAUAUACACGUAUACUUCCUAAAUCCUAAUACCCACCCGCAGUCAAAGCGGUAGGAUCACAGACACACAGACUGGACCUAAACUCAGUAAACAAAGGAGUUGGCAGGCCCUUCGUCAUGAUAUCCGCGAACUUGUGAGAAGACGGCACAUGGAGGACCCGGAGCUCACCUAAGGCCACCUUCUCACGAACAAAGUGAAUAUCAAUCUCGAUGUGCUUCGUGCGCCGAUGAUGCACCGGGUUGGUUGUCAUGUAGACAGCACUAACGUUGUCAUAGUAGACAAUAGUGGUCGAAGCAAGCGGGACAUGAAGCUCCUGGAAAAGUUGACGCAUCCAGCAACAUUCUGCCACAGCAUGAGCCACAACCUGGUACUCCACCUCAGCACUGGAACGAGACAGGAACGAGACACUGUGGUCUAGCGCUUGGAGGACCAAGACACCAGAUUGUCAUCGAGAUAGAUGCAGAAGCUAGAGAUGGAGCGUCUAGAGUCUUGGUAGCCAGCCCAGUCGGCGUCGGAGUAGGCAGUUAGAGACUGAACAUGGCCGGUGCCGAUGUGAAGCCCGGAGGAGAGCGUGCCCUUCACAUAGCACAUGAUGCGCUUGAUCAGGGCCAUGUGGGGCUUGCACAGGUCAUGCAUGAAGAGGCACACCUGCUGAACCACAUACGCCAGUUAGGUCGAGUCAAAGUGAGGUACUGAAGAGCCCCAGCAAGACUCCGAUACUCAGAGCCGUCCUGAAGCUUGGCGCCAUCGUGUGCCGAAAGCUUAGCAUGAGUGUCAACAAGAGUCGCUGUAGAGUGACACUUAUCCAUGCCAGCACGUUGAAGUAGAUCCAGGGCGUACUGUCGCUGAGACAGGAAUAGACCUUGGGAGGAAUGCGUGACGGAGAUGCCGAGGAAGUGGUGUAGGUCGCCAAGAUCCGUCAUGGUGAACUCAGAGUGAAGACGCCCCAUGAUGUGCCGAAGAAGAGUCAAGGACGAGACGGUAAGGAUGAUGUCGUUGAUGUAGAGCAGCAGAUAGGUGAUGCUCGGCCCCUCUUUGCAUACAAAGAGGGAGGUGUUGGAGGUGGAGGUGAUGAAGCCGAGCUGCCGAAGGAAGGAGGCAAACCGCUGUUACCAUGCUGUCGAGGCCUGCUUCAGUCCAUACAAGGACUUCUGCAGGAGACAGACGUGAUCGGGGGUGGCGGGGUUGACGAAGCCGGGAGACUGCUAGCAGUAGGCAGUCUCCGCAAGGUGUCCGUGAAGAAACACAUUAUUCACGUCCAGCUGGUGGAUCAGCCAGGUGCAAGAAGCGGUGAUGCUGAGGGCGGUCCAUAUCAUCGCCGGUUUGACGACCAGACUGAAGGUCUCGUCGUAGUAGAUGUCGUGAUGCUGGGAGAAGCCACGAACCACCCAGCGCGCUUUGUGCUGGGUGAGGGACCCAUCGGCAUGGAAGUUUUGUCAAAAGAUCCACUUGCCUGACACGACAUUGGCACCGGAUGGCCGCGGGACGAGGCGCCAGGUGUCGUUGUCGAUGAGGGCCUGGAACUCGUCAACCAUGGCGGCACGCCAGUUGGCGUUAGCCAGAGCACUGCGAUAGUUCGCCGGAAUCGGAGAGGGCGGAGAAGAAGUCGAGGCUGUCCUGCUAUGGUAAUGGCACUGCUGGAUUGCCUCAGUCACAGACCGAGUGACAUGGCGCAGAGGGGCAGGUGGUGACGAGGAGGGCGCAGAAGGCGCUAGGGCUGCGAGCGUGGGGGAAGGACUAUGGGCGCUCUCCCGACUGGUCGGAGCGCUCGCAGGUGCGAUCGGGGCGCACGCCCGACCGAUUGGAGCGCUCGCUGCUACGGUCGGGGCGUUCGCCGGUGCGGUCGAGCGCUCGCUCGACCGAUCGGAGCGCUCGCCGGUGUGGUCGGGACGGUCGCCCGACCGAUCGGAGCAUGCGUCGGUGCAGUCGGGGCGUGCGCCCGACCGAUCGGAGCGCUCACCGGUGCGGUCGAGGCGAGCGCUAGUGCGAUCGGGGUGCUCGCCCGACCGAUUGAUGCGCGCGCCGGUGCAAACGGUGCGAUCGGGGCCGCCCCCGCGCGUGACACAGUUGCGUUCGGGGCCGUACCAGCGUGUGGUGCGGUCGCAGUCGGAAGCGCUGCAGUCACAGUCGGAGCAAUCGGGAGCGCAAUGGAGAGCGGCGACCCACCCACAGAUGGAGCUGUAAGUGCAUUUAGCCCCCUAAGUGGGUUUUGAUGUUGAUGGCUAGCAUAGUUAGGGGACUAACACAAUUACUAAGUGAUUAACAGGUACUAAGUUCAAAAGAAUGUAAAGGUGUAUGAAAAGACUCUCAAAGAGCCCCUAUUGCAAGGAUAAGAUGGCGUUAAGCUCAAAAGAAGUCUCUUUUUUGUUAUUUCUAAUUUUGAAUUUAAGUUUAGGAACGCCGUACUAUAAAGGGGGAUGUGAAUGAAUAUCUUGAAGAUGCUAAGGUGCUCUAUUGAGAUGCUAACUAACCUUUUGAGAGACACAAAUCUCCCACGUACACAACCUUUACCUCAACAUUUCGGUGCCUGUCAGAAGUUCCGACAGGUAUCGGAAGUAUCCAGAUAGUCCUGACAGAGGUCCUCUGUGCAUCUAACUCAAAAGUGUCGGAAGUUUCGAUAAGUGGUGGGUGUUUCUGGAAACUCCCGACAGGGGUCCUCUGCUCGCCUGAGCUAACUCUAUCGAAAGUUCUAACCCAAUGUUAGAAGUUCCGACAUGUAUAUAACCUGUCUAUAACGGCUAGUUUUUGGGGGCUGGGUAUAAAUACCCCCUCAGCCCCCCCAUUCAGUGCUGCUGACCUAACUCGAGCCAAAACACUCCCAUAGCAUUUAAUACUCCCUCUCCUCACCCCUUUGAGCCCAAUCCUUGAGUUCUUGAGCUAGGGUUUGGGUGAGAGUGAGAUUGAGAGUGUGAGGGACUUGAGGGUUGAGUGAGAAGUUCAAGAAGUUCAUCUCAAGAGCACCUCAAGCAUCCUUGGCGUCCAUUCGCAUUUGUUACUCUUGAAGCUCGCUUCUAGACGGCUAGGCGUCGCCCGUUUGAGCGCCCUCUUUGUGUGGUGCGCCCGGGAAGGUUUGUAUCAUCCAUCCUUCAUGGAUUCAUAGUAAGUGACUCAAUCUACCUUUGUGCUUGAUUGAGGGAGGUAAAAGGGUUAGUGAGGACCCGGCUCUUUGUCAACUCCUCAACGGAGAUGUAGCUCUCUUAGUGAGAGUGAACUUCGGUAACAAAUCCUUAUCUCGCGUGCUUAUUGUGUUCUUCGUUCUAUGUCUUGCCUAGAAGAAGCUUCAAUCAAGGCUAGAGAUGUUCAAAUAAAGAGGUUGAACAUGCUAGUGCAACAAGGGUAUGAAGGCAACACCAAACCCGAGCCUAAGAUCAAGUAUAAGGAUGGGAGACAUCAUAGGUAUAUGGACGGGCUUGGACAUUACAAGGGAAGCAAGGUAAAUCACCGCAAGGUGGUAAAUGGUAAGGAAGUCAUCAAGUUCAACAAGGGUGCAAACCUUGGUGACUUGAUGGACAUGGCACAUGGCAAGACCAAGACAAGCACAACUCAAGUCAAGCCAAUGGCCAAUGUAACCACCAAGGUAAGUGUCAUGGAGAAGUCCAUGACUAGGUCAAAGGAUAAGGUGGUUGCAUAUGAGCCCUCAUCCAACUACACCACCGGCUACAUGGCAACAAUGGACCACAAUAGUAAAAUAGUGGUCAAAUAUGUUGGUGCCUACACUAAAAAGGCUAUCUUUAAAAGUGUGUGGGUUCCAAAAGUUUAUCCUUCUAACCAACAAGGACCCAAAUCUUUUUGGGUACCUAAAUUCCAAGCUUCACUUGUUUUGUAGGCCUAAUCCUCCGGUGGAACUUCAUGGUUGCUUGAUAGUGGAUGUUCAAAUCAUAUGACCGGGGAGAAGGAAAUGUUUUCAUCCCUAGAGCAUUAUGACACACCCAAAGAAAGCAUUGUCUAUGGAGAUAAUAGUAAAGGGGAUGUAAUUAGAAUGGGUAACAUCGCUAUCUCAAAUGACAACUCUCUUUCUAAUAUUUAUUUAGUUGAAUCCUUGGGAUACAAUUUGUUGUCCGUCUCACAACUUUGUGAGAAGGGCUACAAUUGUCUAUUUACUAAUGAGGGUGUGACCGUCUUUAAAAGGGAGGAUUCCUCUAUUGCUUUUACGGGUCGUUUGAAGGGCAAGCUUUAUCUUGUUGAUUUCACAAUGUAUAAAGUUGAGCCUAAGACUUGUUUAGUGGCAAAAACUAACUUGGGUUGGCUUUGGCAUCGCCGACUAGCCUAUGUUGGGAUGAGGAACUUGGCCAAACUUCAAAAAGGCGAUCACGUCCUAAGACUAACAAAUGUUAUCUUUGAGAAAGAUAGGAUAUGUAGCGCAUGCCAAGCCGAAAAACAAGUUGGAGCUCCACAUCCCGCCAAGAACAUCAUGACGACAUCAAGACCAUUUAAGCUUCUACACAUGGACUUGUUUGAACCCAUCGCUUACAUAAGCAUUGGCAGCAACAAAUACGGUCUUGUUAUCUUUGACAACUUUUCCCAUUUCACUUGGGUAUUCUUUGUGCAAGAUAAAAUUGAAGCCCAAGGAAUCAUCAAGAAAUUCAUUAGAAGAGCUCAAUAUGAAUAUGAGUUGAAGAUAAAAAAAGAUAAGAAGUGACAAUGGCUCGGAAUUCCGCAACACAAAUGUCGAAGAAUUUCUUGAUGAAGAAGGAAUCAAGCAUGAGUUUUCCGCUACAUACACACCUCAACCAGAUGGUAUCGUGGAGAGGAAGAAUCAAACAUUGAUCGAAGCCGCAAGAACCAUGCUUGAGGAGUACAAGACCCCGUACAUCUUUUGGGCCAAAGCAAUCAACACCGCUUGCCAUGCCAUCAACCGCCUCUACCUCCACAAGUACUUGGGCAAGACUUCCUACGAAAUAAUCACCGAUAACAAGCCCAAGGUGCAUUACUUUAGAGUUUUUAGGAGUAAAUGUUUCAUCCUUAACAAGAAAUCCAAAAGCUCAAAGUUUGCACCAAAGGUUGAUGAAGGCUUUCUACUUGGUUAUGGUACUAAUGAACACGCCUAUCGUGUCUUCAACAAAACCACCGGUUGCGUUGAGAUCACGGUAGAUGUGAUCUUUGAUAAAUUCAACGGCUCUCAAGUAGAUCAAGUUGAUAAAGACCUUGUAGAUGAUGAAGAACCACCAAGACAAUCAAUCAUGAGGAUGGGAUUAGGUGAAGUGAGGCCACGUGAAGUUGAAGCUCAAUCUUCGGAAGAGAACAUCAAUAAUGAUCCAUCAUCAUCAACAAGAGUUGAACCACCAAGCUCUCAACAAACCCAAGAUCAAGGUCAAGAUCAUGGUGACGAUCAAGAUCAUGGCAUUGAUCAAGGGGGAGAACAAGGUAGUCAAUCUCAAGAAGACAAUCCACAAGUUGAAGACAAUUAUGAUGGAACUAUUCAACGACAAUCACAAGUGCUCUUUCCUAGAGUUCAUCAAAACGUUCAACGGGAUCACCCUGUUGACAACAUCAUUGGAAGUAUUCAAAGAGGGGUAACUACUCAUUCACGUUUGGUAACUUUUUAUGAAUGUUACUCUUUUGUUUCCUCUUUGGAGCCUUUCAAGGUAGAAGAGGCACUUGAAGACCCGGAUUGGGUGAUGGCCAUGCAAGAGGAACUAAGCAACUUCACUAGAAAUGAGGUAUGGGAGUUGGUGGAAACACCGAAGCAAAACGUGAUUGGCACCAAGUGGGUCUUCCGUAAUAAGCAAGAUGAACACAGUGUGGUCACAAGGAACAAAGCAAGGUUAGUUGCAAAAGGUUUCACCCAAAUUGAAGGGUUAGAUUUUGGUGAAACCUAUGCACCCGUAGCUAGGCUUGAGUCAAUUCGUAUAUUACUUGCCUAUGCUACUCACCAUGAUUUCAAGUUAUAUCAAAUGGAUGUGAAGAGUGCAUUUUUGAAUGGCCCCCUAUCCGAGUUGGUGUAUGUUGAACAAUCGUCAGGUUUUGAAGAUCCAAAGUUUCCAAACCAUGUGUGCAAGCUCCAUAAGGCGCUCUAUGGGCUUAAGCAAGCACCUAGAGCAUGGUAUGAAUGCCUUAAGGAUUUUCUUCUCAAGAAUGACUUUGUGAUGGGCAAAGCUGAUUCUACUCUCUUUAUUCACAAAGUUGGUAAAGAUAUAUUUGUUUGCCAAAUAUAUGUCGAUGAUAUUAUAUUUGGCUCUACUAAUGAAAAGUUUUGUGAAGAAUUUGGUAGUAUGAUGACCAAAAGGUUUGAGAUGUCCAUGAUGGGUGAAUUGAAGUUCUUCCUUGGAUUUCAAAUCAAGCAAAUGAAGGAAGGGACAUUCAUAUGUCAAACCAAGUAUACAAGGGAUAUGCUCAAGAAGUUUGACAUGGCCGACGCUAAACCCAUCAAGACACCAAUGGCGCUAAAUGGACAUCUCGAUCUCAAUGAAGAAGGAAAGCCGGUCGAUCAAAAGGUAUAUCAUUCCAUGAUUAGCUCUCUUUUUUACCUUUGUGCAUCUAGGCCCGAUAUAAUGCUUAGUGUGUGCAUGUGUGAAAGAUUUCAAGCCAACCCUAAGGAAUGUCAUCUAAUGGCCGUUAAGAGAAUCUUUAGAUUUUAGUUUACACUCUUAACCUUGGCUUAUGGUAUCCCAAGGGCUCCACUUUCGAUUUACUUGGCUACUCCAAUUUGAAUUAUGCCAGUUGCAAAGUAGAUCGAAAGAGUACCACCGGGACUUGCCAAUUUCUUCGAAGGUCCUUGGUGUCAUGGAGCUCAAAGAAGCAAAAUUCGGUUUCUUUAUCCACCGCCGAGGCUGAAUAUGUGGCCGCCGGUGCAUGUUGUGCCCAACUUUUGUGGAUGAAGCAAACAUUAAGUGACUUUGGUUGUGAGUUUAGUAAGAUUCCACUCUUGUGUGAUAACGAGAGUGCUAUCAAGCUAGCUAACAAUCCGGUGCAACACUCUCGAACAAAGCACAUAGAUAUUAGACAUCACUUCUUAAGGGACCAUGAGGCUAAGGGAGAUAUUGCUUUACGUCAUGUAAGCACCGAGAGGCAACUUGCCGAUAUCUUCACUAAGCCUCUAGAUGAGCAAAGGUUUUGUGCUUUGAGGAAUGAACUAAAUAUCUUGGAUUCUCGUAACUUGGCUUGACCUAUUGCACACACACUUGAUUGUUGCCUAGAUAGGAAAAAUGAAUUUAUUUGUGUUGCGUUUUAUUUCAACUUGGUUUUUGAUCCUCGGAUCAAAUCUUGGCUCAAGUGAUCAUUGUAAUGUAAUGUUGUUUGUUGGCUGAUCACUAUUGAGUCAAGAUGUCUUACAUGUUCAUAAACCAUCUAUUGAGAGAUCUCAAUCGAAAUCCAUCUCAAAAUCUAUCGUUUUGGAGCCUUUUUUGCACCUGUCGGAACUUCUGAUACCGUGUCGAAACUUUCGAUACCCCUCAGAAGUUUCCAAGAAGUCCCGACAGGUACCCUCUGCUGGAUCUCUUUUAUCCUGUUGGAACUUCCGACGGUGUAUUAGAACUUCCGAUACCCCUCAGAAGUUUCCGGGAAGUCCCGACGGGGUUCCUGUGUUGAUCAGCUCUUCUCCUGUUGGAUCUUCCGAUGACGCGUCAGAACUUCCAACAAGCCUCGUGGGUUUCUAAACCAACACCAUCCUCUCUCCUCCUCUCCACGCCUUGGGCAAUUUCUAGUUUGGACCAUCAAAAGCUCAAGGGAUCAUCUUCUUUGGAUUCCCACUUAUCGGAACCUCUGAUCCACCCUUUGUAUCCUUCGAUCCGCACGGGAAUUCAUCAAGGUAACUCAUUUUAAAUCCCCAGCGCCCGAUCUCUCAAUGCCCUAGGAGUUAGAGGUUCAUCUUUUAGGGAUGGUCUCUAGGAUGAUCAUAGACCCUUUACAUGCAAUAUCAAACUUUUUGGAUGGAUAGAUUUCAAAUCCCAUGGAUUUAGGUUGAAAUUGGGCUCUGUCAGAACUUCCGAUAGAGUAUCGGAACUUCCGAUGCGUCGGAAGUUCCGACACUGUAUCGAAAGUUCCAAUAAAUGUCUAUUGUUUCGACAUCUCAGUCCAUGUGCAUCCUUUCUAAUCCAUCAAUCACUCCUUCUCUUUGUCCUGCCAGAUGGUUCGCGAACGCAGAAGCAAAAGGCAAGAAGAUCGUCCUGAAAUCCAAUCAAAUUCCUGCACCGAGUCCGAUGAUGACAUACCAAUAGCUCUAAGAGGUGGAAAGAGAAACACUAUUCCCAAGGUGCCUGCCUGAGUUUGAGGAAAGGGGAAGCGUAGUGUUGUUGCAGUUCUAGCCAAGCGCCUCCCCUCGCAGAAAAAAUGCAUCCGCUCUGGGAGCUCAUUGGACGAUAAUGAAGAUAGCAAUUGGAUGCUCUCCAGUCAGUCAUUCUUAGGGUAAAGAAGCCUACUCGUCAUGAAAGGCCCAGCUACACCCCCCUUCGCCCCAUGGACUAUAUGAAAGGGAGGCAUGAUGUGUGAGUUUUGAGGUAUGAUGACCCCCUCUAAGUAUUAGAAGGAAUUUUAUGGGAAUGUGCGCUUUUGGCUUCGCUUUCAUGCAGAUUGGUACAAGUCUGUCAUCCUUAGCAAGUCACGUCCCACCAUGGCGAUGAAGUCUAUGGAUUGGGACUAUCUCUUUGAUGUAGACUUGUCGGUUGUUGGUCAAGUCAAUGACGCUUGCAAUAAUAAGUUUCUUCAUGAAAUCAUGGAGUUUAAUCAAGAUUGGAACGAAGAAGUGGUGGCCUAAUUCUAUGCCACUCUUUAUAUUGACAGGCCCAACAAAGUUACGCAUUGGACUCUUCAAGGGAAGCCAUUGUCUGUCUCACAUGAGCACUUUACACACAUUCUUGGCUAUGGAGGACCCUAUCUCAAUGGUCCAAAGAUUCAUGAUGAGAAUGUGUUAGAAGAUGGAGAAAUGGCAUUUAUGUAUGAUAUUGCAUAUGGACCUAUUGAGCAUGGCACAAUAAAGGGGAUGAUACCGUAUUAUCGCCUGUUGAAUCAACUGUUUCGGUACACGCUUUGUCCCAAAGGUGGAGACUCGGAUAAUAUUUCAAAUAUGUCUAAGAAUAUACUUGCAUGGAUGCAUCCGAGCAAAGAAGACUUCAAUGUCUUUGAUUUCAUUUGGGAGGAAAUCAUUAUCUGCUCUUAUUCUCCAAAGAAGAGUUGUCACUAUACCCCGUACAUUUUUGCUAUGAUCAAAGAAGUGACACACUUGGACAUCUUGACUAACAAAGCUCAUCUGAUCUAUAGGUCAAAGAAGGGUCAACUUGAGAGGCUCUUGAGGAUUGGUUCCCAUGCUACACGCCUUCCGCCUCCAAGCUCAUCUCAAGGACCUCCGGCUUCUUCUCAAGGACCCUCACAUGUUCACGGACCUUCUUCUUCACAUGGUCCUUCCUUGGGGCCCUCUUCGUCUAGGCCAUCCACUUCUAGGGGUCCUUCUCGUGCCCCUAAGAAGAAAGGUAUUCUAAGCUUUAUCUCACAAGGUUUGUUUGCGUGCUUCAAUGUGGCAAAGCACAAUGCGGAUGAAAUAUAUGCCCAUAAGAAAUACAUGGAUGAAGAGCUCUUGAAGAUAGAGAAGAGGCAAAAGGAGCUCAUGGCUAAAAUUGAUCUUUCACAUUCUUCGGUUCGUGCUCCUCUUGACUUCCCUCCACCACCAGUGUUCUAUAAUCCUUGGGAGGAGUUUGGGCAGCCCUCGAUCUUCUUUGGGGCUUCCCAAGGUGAUAUGGAGGAAGAAGAUUUUGGUGGACGGGAGGAGUCUAGUGAGGAGAAAGAGGAAGACAUUCCCGAAGCCAACACUCCCAAAUAUGAAGAUGAUGAUGAUGAUGAUGAGGGAGACGCCAACGAGUGAAGGCCGAUGGUAGGGCCUCCCCUUUUUGGCGCUUGAUGCCAAAGGGGGAGUGACGCUCACCACGGAUGGAUCUUAUCUUAGCUUGUCUUUAUCUUAUCUAGUGGCUUGUGGACUUGUAAGACAAUUUAUGUGUGUGGUGUAGUGGUUAGUGUGCCAAGUGAACUUUUAAAUUUGUAAGACUCAUUUGCUAUGCUAGUGUGGCUUAAGACUCCUAUUUGCUUGUGAUGAGUUGUUUAUGACUUGUGUGGUGUAAUGUUCUUUCUCACUUUUGUUGAAGUGCCCCAUCUUGUCAUAUGCAUCACGUUGAUAUUCUUGACACACUCUUGCACCCCACAUUUGCAAGGAUAUAGGGGGAGCCCACUCAAUUUGUGCAUUUAGCAUUUGAGGCCAUUUAUCUUCUCAUGCACAUAUUAAGAAGGAGCUCAUCUAUAUAGUUGCUUUUGAAAUAUUUAUAUCUCUCUUGUGAGUCCUAAUUGUGUUGUCAUCAAUCACCAAAAAGGGGAAGAUUGUAAGUGCAUUUGGCCCCCUAAGUGGAUUUUGGUGUUGAUGACUAGCAUAGUUAGGGGACUAACACAAUUACUAAGUUCAAAAGAAUGCAAAGGUGUAUGAAAAGACUCUCAAAGAGCCCCUAUUGCAAGGCUAAUAUAGCGUUAAGCUCAAAAGAAGUCUCUUUUUGUUAUUUCUAAUUUUGAAUUUGAGUUUAGAAAUGUCGUACUAUAAAGGGGGAUGCGAAUGGAUAGCUUGAAGAUGCUAAGGUGCUCUAUUGAGAUACUAACUAACCUUUUGAGAGACACAAAUCUCCCACAUACACAACCUAUAUCUCAGCAUUUCUGUGCCUGUCGGAAGUUCCAACAGGUAUCGGAAGUAUCCAGAUAGUCUCGACAGAGGAUCUCUGUGCGUCUAACUCAAAAGUGUCGGAAGUUCCGAUAAGUGUCGGGUGUUUCUAGAAACUCCUGACAGGGGUCCUGUGCUCGCCUGAGCUAACUCUGUCGGAAGUUCCAACCCUGUGUCAGAAGUUCGGACAUGUACAUAACCUAUCUAUAACGGCUAUUUUUUAGGGGCUAGGUAUAAAUACCCCCUCAGCCCCCCCCCCAAUUCAGUGCUGCUGACCUAACUCAAGCCAAAACACUCCCAUAGCAUUGAAUACUCCCUAACCUCACCCCUUUGAGCCCAAUCCUUGAGCUCUUGAGCUAGGGUUUGGGUGAGAGUGAGAUUGAGAGUGUGAGGGACUUGAGGGUUGAGUGGGAAGUUCAAGAAGUUCAUCUCAAGAGCACCUCAAGCAUCCUCGGUGUCGAUUCGCGUUUGUUACUAUUGAAGCUCGCUUCUAGACGGCUAGGCGUCGCCCGUUUGAGCGCCCUCUUUGUGUGGUGCGCUCGGGAAUGUUUGUAUCACCCAUCCUUCGUGGAUUCAUAGUAAGUGACUCAAUCUUUCUUUGUGGUUGAUUGAGGGAGGUAAAAGGAUUAGUGAGGACCCAGCUCUUUGUGAGCUCCUCAACAAAGACGUAGCUCUCUUAGUGAGAGUGAACUCCGUAACAAAUCCUUGUCUCGUGUACUUAUUGUGUUCUUCGUUCUAAGUCUUGCCUAGAAGCUCAUUUUUAGCUGAUCUAUAUAUUUGAGUUGUUCCUUGCAUAUAUAUUCCUAGAGUAGAUUCUACGCUUCAUUUACUAUCUUUUGAUUCAAAUAGUUUUGGCAGAAUCAGGUUGCAUUUUGAAUUUCGUUCAGCUCACUUUAUCCUGUCGGAAGUUCCGAUCCAGUACCGGAAGUUCCGAUCCAUCAAAGUUCCGGCACUGUGUCGGAAGUUCCGACAGAUCUAAUACCGCUGCGAGUUUUUCAGGAAAAUUCCAAUUGAGCCUAUUCACCCCCCUCCUCUAGGCAUCACAAGAUCCUUUCAGGAGUGGGGUACACGGUCGGCCCGUGGAACAGGAUGGCAAGGUCAUCGUUGGUGAGUUCCUGCAAAACAACUGGUGACGGCUGCGGCUGCUCAACGUCUGACGACGGAGCGACCGAGGUGGAAGCAGGAACAUCGAAGGGGCUCGAUAAAAGGAAGUCGGGCUGCGAUGGGUGAGUGGGAUGGGAGAAGAAGGGAAAGAUGGACUCGUCGAAGACAACAUGGCGAGAGAUGAUGACUCGACAGGUGGACAAGUCAAGGCAGCGGUACCCCUUGUGAGAGGAGGGAUAAUCGAGGAAGACACAGACUAUGGAGCAAGGAGCAAGCUUGUGGCGUGUCGUGGCUGAGAGGUUGGGGUAGCAAAGACAACCGAAGACACGCAAGUGAGAGUACUCGGGAGGCUGGGAGUAGAGUAGGCGGUAGGGAAAGUCAUUCUAAACGGCAGAAUAGGGGAGUCAGUUUAGAAGAUAGGUGGCGGUGGCGAGCGCCUUGACCCAGUAUGGGGCAACUAUGGAGUUGUGAAUGAGCAAUGUGCAAGUUGACACGCAAGUGAGAGUACUCGGGAGGCUGGGAGUAGAGUAGGCGGUAGGGAAAGUCAUUCUAAACGGCAGAACAGGGGAGUCAGUUUAGAAGAUAGGUGGCGGUGGCGAGCGCCUUGACCCAGUAUGGGGCAACUAUGGAGUUGUGAAUGAGCAAUGUGCAAGUCACAUUAUUAAGGGUGCGUAGGACACGCUCGGCUUUCCCAUUUUGGGGAGAAGUGUAGGGACACAAGAGGCACAAGUGGAUACCCCGAGAAGUCAAAAAGGAUGUGAGAGUCUUAUUGACAAACUUGGUCCCGUUGUCAGCUUGGACGCUUUGAAAAGGAAGACUAAACUGCGUGUGAGCAUAGGCGUAGAAAUCAGUGAUGUGUGAGGCGACUUCAGACUUGUGAACUAGAGGAAAUGUCCAACAAAAAUACGAGAAGUCGUCCAAAAUGACUAGGUAGUGCGAUAACCAGAGAUGCUAGCUACGGUAGAAGUCCAAACAUCACAGUGUACUAACUCAAAAGGAGCAGAACUGCAAGAGCUAGAAUGGGAUAAAGGUAACCGCACAUGUUUCCCUAACUGACAUGAAUGACAUAGAGUAUGACUAUCUUUAUUACAAGCAAUGGAUGAAGUUUGUCUAACUCUAUGGUGCAGUUAUUGUCCUUAGUAAACUGAUGAACAUAAGUUAUAUUACAAAUCAGAGAAGGAACAAUAAGGACAUUGUUAAGACGAAAGUGAGAGGUGGGUGUGGUAAGGGUGGAGUUGCCACAACACGUGAUAGGAAGGGUGUGACCGUUACCGACAGUAAUGGAGGAGUGAGAGGGAGAAAAAAAUCGGGAAAGAAGAAUACCAUCCGAGGACGAUAUGGUCGGAUGCACCUGAGUCAACCACCCGACCGCCGUUCUGCAGCGCCAUCUUGUUCAGGGCAACAACCAGACCCGCCUGGUCCCAAGUUGAUGCUUGAGUGGGCGCCUGAACAGGGGCGUAGGUGGCGUGGGCCUGCGGAUGGGGGGGGGGCGAGGAGACCAGGGGUGCCGGCGCGCCAGCCUCCACUACCCGACGGAUGCUAACCGCCAGACUGCUAGAAGCCCGUGGCGCCGUAGGAGCCGGCACCUGGACUGAAGCAGAACCAUGGGGUUGGUGGGCUGUGGGGGCCGCCACUGUGAGAGCUGCUACCACCAGGGAGUGCCUGGAAGCCGCCGCCGCAUUUCUUCUGCCACUUCUUCUUGCCGCCGCUACCGCCACCGCGGUCGUCGCUACUGCCGCCGCCGCCAGUCUGGACAUAAACCAGAUGGCGGGCGACACCCGUCCGUACAGCCGGAGGACGAAGACAACAAGGAGGUCCCGGCGAGGAGGGCGGUGGAGUUGGAGAUCUUCUCCUCGUUGGCGAGACGAAGUUCCUUUAGGGUGAGCAUGUCCCGCGCCUAGGCGAAGGACGGGAAGUUGGUGGUGGAGUUGGUGAUGUCGUCGGCGGUGUUGGAGAAGCACGGGUUGAGGUCACGAAGGAGGUUCAGGACAAGUUGGGGAUUCAUCCUAUGUCAUGGAGUGGAAGUCGUGGCUGAGGAAGAUCGCCCGGGACUGCUAGUUGGCGCGAAAGAGGCCCUCGAUGGCGAGCCAAAGAUCCCAAGCGGUCUAAUCAUCAUCGAUCAUGACGAGGUUGAGGACGGAGUCACGACGGAGCCGAAGAACCAGGAGCGGAUGCAGCAAUCCGCUUGAUCUCAGUCGGGGUCUAGGGGGCGGGGCGCCACCGUAACAUCGAUGUUCGACUUGAGGCCGAACUUGCCGCACAUGGACUUGAAAAAGGACGCCCAUCUAGAGUAGGCGUUGGACUUCAUCAUCAGCGUCACAGGGACGUGAGACUUGACGGAGACGGUGGCGUAGGGGUGGACGGCAGGCGCACUGGGUACACGAUGAAGCCACUGCCGCUGUUGCCGAGUGCGUCGCCGGCAGGAGGAGCUUAGGGUGCACCGCCAGAGGACGCCCAUCUAGAGUAAGCGUUGGACUUCAUCGUCAGCGUCACGGGGACGUGAAACUUGACGGAGACGGUGGCCUAGGGGUGGAUGGCAGGCGGCGGCACCGGGUACACGAUGAAGCCGCCGCCGUCGUUGCCGGGCGUGUCGCCGGCAGGAGGAGCUUAGGGUGCACCGCCAGAGGAGUCGCCGGUGCCAGGUGGCGGCACAGAUGCACCACCAUUGGUAGCAGAGGGCGGCACAGGAUUAGCAGCCGAACUGGUGGUGUCGCGGGAUACAAAGGAGUCGGUGGAGGACAUGGUGCACGACCGGGGGAUGGGGAGGGGAGCCGGUUGAGGGAUCAAGGGGGAGCCAGUCGAGGAGGGGAGGAAGCCGGUUGGGGAGGUGCAACGGAGGGUGGGUGGCAGCGGUGUAGCAGGAGGGCGCCACCUAGGGUUGCGCGGAUCAGGGGGAAGGCGCAGGAAGAGGAGGCCCACGAUCUAAUCUCGUAAUACCAUGUAGAGAAGUAGAUGGGAAAACACCACACCUUGAUGAGGAGGUGACCCUCUCUAUAUUAGUAUGACUUGGAGUACAAGGAAUAUAAAAAAAGAUAAAUAUAUUUUAAUAUACAGGUAAUACGGCCACCUACAAUUUCAGCGUCAACUUCCCAUUUCCCGAUCACAGAAAGACUAGACGACUUUGCUUGCUGCAGCCUGCAGGGUCCUCCCCCUCAACUGCCCAGCAACCACCGCUGCCUGCCCCGUCCAGAUCUCCCUCCGCCGCGCGAUGGCCGCCGCCCCCGUCGCCCCGCCGCCGGCCUCGGCGGACGACGAGAUCGUCUACGAGUCCAUGCCCUGCAUCCGCAUCUACAAGAACCGCGUGGAGCGCUACUUCGGCUCCGAGUUCGUCGCCGCCUCCACCGACGCCGCCACCGGCGUCGCCUCCCGGGACGUCGUCAUCUCCCCCAACGUCUCCGCGCGCCUCUACCUCCCACGCCUCGCGGACGGGGCACCCGCGACCAAGCUCCCCGUCCUCGUCUACUACCACGGCGGCGGUUUCUGCCUCGGCUCCGCUUUCAACCCCACCUUCCACGCCUACUUCAACAGCUUCGCGGCGCUCGCCAACGUCCUCGUCGUCUCCGUCGAGUACCGCCUCGCCCCCGAGCACCCCGUCCCCGCCGCCUACGCCGACUCCUGGGAGGCCCUCGCCUGGGU
rnacentral:lncRNA from 1 species